ACAACGGCUCUUUUAAGAGCCUUUCAUCUAUAAAAAGCGGUUUCU
rfam:Gasterosteus aculeatus cont1.009712, whole genome shotgun sequence.